UUCCUCACCUUAUCUCGUCGCCGCCCCGAUUCUUCCUCCUCUCUCACGCCGUGUUUACUCUCUGCUCUUCUUCUUCUCCUCAUCUUCUCCAACCGGUGCCCCUUUCUCUUCUUCCGCGUCAUCUUCCCUCCUCUGCCGUCGUCUCCUCGUCGUAGAGGUCCUCACCACGCCGAUUGUCACGAGAGCACCGCCGACAGCAGUCUUUCUCUCCGCGAGCCUCACCAACACCAAGCUCUCUGGGCUAUCAGGCGGCCCGAUCCUCUUCUACUUUUCCCCUUGCGUCUCUGCCCUAGAUGCAGCCGACGUCAUCGCAUCCGACCACAGUACCUGCAAUUUUGGGCGGCUAGCGUCGCCGCCAUCUCUUUCACCGGCUGCCACUUCUUCCUCUUCCAUCUGCCACCGUCGGAGAGCUGAGUACACAGGAGAGUAGGGUUGUUCUUCCGCGUAUCAGCAGUUGCGAGGGGUUACCACGCGUUGCCCCCUUCAAUUGUGCCGUGGCCAUCCGGUCAGCCACAAGGAGAUCCAUUGCUGCGGUGACCCCAUUUGUGCUUGGAUUUGUGCCACUGUCGUGUAUCUGUGAAUUCUGAGGCGGUGAGGGUUGUUGGACAGAUUUACCAUCGUCGAAAGAGCCACAAACUGCUGAUAAGGAUUUUCUCAACAAAAUUGGUUGGUUCAUUAAUCUGUACAAGAGAAGCAAUUUAUCUCAUGGAAUUCGAAGACAGGGAGGGCAAAAGAAGAAAAUGAAGGCAUGCAUGUUAUUAGCUCGAGGAUAGAGGAACAAAUUAUUGAAAGAGAAAAAAAACUUGUUAUUAUAGAGGGAAGAAAAUCUCAAGGAGAUGAUUU